rnacentral:lncRNA from 1 species
GGAAGUAAAAGUCGUAACAAGGUUUCCGUAGGUGAACCUGCGGAAGGAUCAUUACCGGUUUCGUCCCAAGUCUGGUGGCCGCAAAACGCUCCAAGCCCCGGUAGGACGAGCUGGUGGAGGGGCGUCGGAGCGGCGGGCCAACCCCACCGGCGACGGUGCGCGUCCGGGAGAGAGGGACCAGGAGCUGUCACAGCCUCCCCUCUCUCCCGAGGCGACUCUGCGUGUCGGUGAGGACCUGGUACCCGUCGCUGCGCUCCGCCCCUCCACCUAUCACCACCUGCCCUCCCGAGGCUCCAAGGGCGGCAGGGUGCCGCCGGGCCUCCGCCGUGCCCCCUACGCCCUCGACCUGCUCGGCCUUUGGGCCGGGGAGGCUGGGAUGCGGGACACAACAGCGCGGUCGUCCCGACUCCCCUGCCGUCAUCCGAAAGCACCGGAGGCACGCCAAGCCGACCCAACUCCGUAAGCCCGUAGCUCGCCAAACUCCCGAUACCCUGUGCGCCCCGUGGGUCCGAAACUUUCCCGCACCUAUAUAGCAACCCCCACCCUAGACAGGGGGGGUCGUGGUGACAGGGCUGUGGACGGCCGGCGGGACCGGGGUUACGGGGGGGGAAGGGAGUUGCGGGACACGGAGAUGCCUGGCGUGUGCUCCGAGCGAAACUCCGUGCGCCCAUAGCUCGCUGCCCCCCGUUACCCUGCGCGCCCCGUCGGUCCGAAACUGCCCCGCGCCUAUACAGCGACCCCCACCCUAGACAGGGGGGGUCGUGGCGACUGGGCUGUGGACGUCCGGCGGGACCGGGGCUUCGGGGGACGGAGGUGCGGGACGCGGAAGAGGCCCGGUGCGCUCCUUCGACGCCCUAGGACCCUUGAACCUCGUAGUCCGGGCCCGGCUUCCCCGCCGACAGGUGCGUUCCCUUCCCCCGGCUCUCUCUCCUUUCCUCCGUCAGCGCGACGUCCCGUCGGGGCUCGCCGUGUGCCGCUCGGCGCGGGAGGAUCCCCUCCGUGGGAACUCCCCGCCGGUUGGCUGGCCCCCGCCGGGCGCAUUUCCUCCGCCGGUGGUGCGCCGCGACCGACUCUGGAUCGGCCAGGAAGGGCUCGGGGCGAAGGUGGCUCGCGGCUCCGGCCGCGAGCUUUACAGCGACCCAACGCCUGGACCUCGCCGCUUUCCGGGGUCGUGGAAUCAGUACUCACUGCGCCUUCUCUCCUCCGCCUCGCGCCUCCGUCCCCCUCCUCGUGGGGGGGGCGGGGGACUGGGCGGCCCACGGGAGAGAUCGGACGAAGUACAUGUUUGAAAAGUGCAGAGGUUUUUGACCCUAAUAGCUUUCACUUUACAUUGGUAAAGUCUUACUCGAACACAAAAAUUCUGCUUGCUUGCAAUCAUUUAGGUUUGUACUGCCCCCUAUUGCCAGGGAAAGUACACACCGUCACUUUAAAUUUGUCCACAGAGCUCACAAACAGAAGGUUUCUAUCCUGUGUGGACACUCAUGUGCUUGUUUAA